AUUGAACGCUGGCGGCAGGCCUAACACAUGCAAGUCGAGCGGAUGAAGGGAGCUUGCUCCUGGAUUCAGCGGCGGACGGGUGAGUAAUGCCUAGGAAUCUGCCUGGUAGUGGGGGAUAACGUCCGGAAACGGGCGAUAAUACCGCAUACGCCCUGAGGGAGAAAGUGGGGGAUCUUCGGACCUCCCGAUAUCAGAUGAGCCUAGGUCGGAUUAGCUAGUUGGUGGGGUAAAGGCCUACCAAGGCGACGAUCCGUAACUGGUCUGAGAGGAUGAUCAGUCACACUGGAACUGAGACACGGUCCAGACUCCUACGGGAGGCAGCAGUGGGGAAUAUUGGACAAUGGGCGAAAGCCUGGUCCAGCCAUGCCGCGUGUGUGAAGAAGGUCUUCGGAUUGUAAAGCACUUUUAUUUGGGAGGAAGGGCAGUAAGUUAAUACCUUGCUGUUUUGACGGUACCAACAGAAUAAGCACCGGCUAACUUCGUG
rnacentral:rRNA from 1 species